UCGUUCUACUCAAUUUAUAUCGUUUUCUUCAUUCAUAUAUACAUAGGUCGAUAUUUUCACUACUAUACAUAUAAUAACCAUCCAUCUACAAUGAUUGUGUGCAUUAUGCAUGUGCAUAAUUAAGUCCCAUUACUGUAUGUCAUAAAUAGAUCUUGAAACUAAAUUUUUUAUUCUCUCUGUUUUUAAAUUGUGCUCAAAACCCAGCUAACUUAAAUAUUGAAAGAUCUUUCAUCGAACAAGCUCUG
rnacentral:lncRNA from 1 species